GGUUGCUGGUUCAACAGGGCACCCGGAUAAGUGCGCCCUGUGGGGAUUGCUGGGUAGGGCCGGCCACCGCUGCCCCAGCUGCCGGCUUCGCCAGGCAGACCCACUGCCUUGCGUCCCGUGUCUUUUUUAUGCUUGGGAGUUUCCCCGUUCUGUGGGCAACAAAGAUCAGUCUGGAAAUGCAGCUCAGACUCACCUCUUUGCGGAUUCAACGAGAGCUCCGAUCAUAUUUUGUCUUUUUAUAACAGAAAUUCUGACUAGUAUAAAGUGAUACCUCAUUCUUACUUUAAUAUGCAUUUCCCUGAUGAGGAGUGAAAUUGAGGAUCUUUUCACGUCUGUUAGCCAUUUGUAUGUCGUCUUUGAGAAAUAUCUAUUUGGGUCCUUUGUCCGUUUUUUUUAUUUGGGUUAUUUUUUUUUUCUAUUGAGUUGUUUGAGUUUCUUAUAUGUUCUGAUGUUUUCUCAAAUUGCUUUAACUUUCACCAGUCCUGGCAUUAAGGGGUUGCUGGAAUGUGGGGAGGGAACUUGAAUACGAAAUACAAAUGUUAUCUAUCAGUUCCCCAAUGACCCCAAGUAAAAUGAAAUAGUAUAUUCCAAUACAGACCCUUGACAUUUCUCCAUGUUAAGAAGGUGUGAAGGAAAGUGUCUGGAAGUAGAAAGCUGUUACUUUAAUUAAUUUGUAACAUACAUUCUACAUAAAAAAUGGGCUUGCCACACAAAUACCAUUUCCCUCUACCACAUACCAGCUUUCCACCUCAAACCUUGCUGUGAAAAAUUCUGUGGUCACUAUUGCCUGCCUGCAUUCUUUCACUAGUAUGUUGCAUGGGUGUAGACAUAGCUUCCAUUUGUGGGUAUAACAAUUCAAUUUGUGACUAUGUAACUAAUCUGUCUUGAAUUUCAUCAAAGUAAAUUUAGUACAAAAAGUACUGGAAAACUUUGUGUUUGUGUACUUGUGUGAUUUGAACCCUUAAAUGAUGUUACAAUGAGGCUUCAGAACAUUACAUGUUUUUAAAAAUACUGCAAAUUAAUCCUUUUGAUACUUUUUUCCCCUAAAACCAUGUGUAAAAAGCUCACAUUAAGUGAAACUUAACAUAGAUAGGACUCUCUCUAGGAAUUAAUGAAGUCAACAGAACCCGAAUCUACAAAAAGUAUGUCUCUUUCUAAAGACACUCAUUGAAAUGCAUGUUAAUUCAUAGGAAGGCUCAGGUUGGUCCAAAGCAAGCGAAAAUACACUGUCCUAACCUAUUUGACUUGGCUUUGGAAAAGGGAAAUUUUAAAAAAACUGGUAGCCACCCUGCUCCUGUGUGUGUGUGUUGUGUGGUAGAAAUGUGGAAAUGUAGAGGAAGAUGAAAUACAGAAACAAAAAAGAAGAAGGGUGGGAGGGGAAGCUCACUCCAGGAUCCACUCCGCACAGUGCACCAGGGGGGCAGCCUUCCUGAGUUCUAGGCAUGAGAGUUGCUCAAGCCUGUGUUUGGAAAUGACAGCUCAGAUAAUAGAUGAUGUAGGAUUCCCUGGUGAAUGAACACAAA
rnacentral:lncRNA from 13 species